AGUCGACGGAAGUCCUUCGGGUACUUUAGUGGCGAACGGGUGAGUAAUACAUAGGUAACCUACCCUUAAGACGAGGAUAGCCAUUGGAAACGAUGGAUAAAACUGGAUAGGAUAUAGAGGAAGAAUCUUUUAUAUUUAAAAGAGAGAUCUGCUUAAGGAGGGGCCUGUGGCGCAUUAGCUAGUUGGUGGGGUAAGGGCCUACCAAGGCGAUGAUGCGUAGCCGGACUGAGAGGUUGAACGGCCACAAUGGAACUGAGAACGGUCCAUACUCCUACGGGAGGCAGCAGUAGGGAAUUUUCGGCAAUGGGGGGAACCCUGACCGAGCAACGCCGCGUGAACGAAGAAGUUAUUCGUAAUGUAAAGUUCUUUUAUCAGGGAAGAAAGAGGAAUUUGACGGUACCUGAGGAAUAAGCUCCGGCUAACUACGUGCCAGCAGCCGCGGUAAUACGUAGGGAGCGAGCGUUAUCCGGAAUUAUUGGGCGUAAAGGGUGCGUAGAUGGCAUAGUAAGUCUUUUGUAAAAAUGCUGGGCUCAACCCAGUAGGGCAAAAGAUACUGCAAAGCUAGAGUAUGACAGAGGCAAGUGGAACUACAUGUGUAGCGGUAAAAUGCGUAAAUAUAUGUAAGAACACCAGUGGCGAAGGCGGCUUGCUGGGUCGAUACUGACAUUGAGGCACGAAAGCGUGGGGAGCAAACAGGAUUAGAUACCCUGGUAGUCCACGCCCUAAACGAUGAGUACUAAGUGUUGGUGAGAAUCAGUGCUGAAGUUAACGCAUUAAGUACUCCGCCUGAGUAGUACGUACGCAAGUAUGAAACUUAAAGGAAUUGACGGGAGCCCGCACAAGCGGUGGAGCAUGUUGUUUAAUUCGACGAUACGCGAAGAACCUUACCAGGUCUUGACAUAGCACGCGAAGGCG
rnacentral:rRNA from 1 species